rnacentral:tRNA from 1 species
AGGAUUAUAGUUAAAAAUAACAUUUGAAUUGCAAUCAAAAAGUGCAUUAAGCUAAUCUUA